rnacentral:misc_RNA from 1 species
UUAAGUUUUUGGAGCUAUAUCAAAAUUAACACGUAAUAUGGGACCUGAAGCAUUCGUACCAUAAGAACAGAAAACAAAUCAGUGAUGACAUGGGUUCGAUUAUACGAAAAACUGAAACGUUCAGUAACCGAGUUAAAGAAAAAAACUCGAUAAUGGCUACAUUUAAGGGCCAUUUGCGUAUAAAAAAAACUUCAGUUAGAUCAGGAGCCAGUGCAAAUUAUAUUUACAAGCCAAUAUGGCUUGCGUAUAAAUAUACAGUGUGAUUUAGAGAUAACACUAAAUUAUUCUGUCCAGUGGCAUCGGAUUGAUAUGCGGUUUUCGGGAGGAGAUAGGGAAUGCCUAAAUACACAUUUUUCGAUAGUUUUCAAAUUUUUAACUCUUUUAUUGAGGCAUUUGCAUUUUUUUUAAGUAGCAACAUUUCCUUUAACAACAGAGUUGGAUAAACCGACAUUUUUUUAAGUCAAUUUGGUCCUUUUUACCAAGACCAGUGGUGUUUAGGUUACCAUGACGUAUAGAAUCGCAUAAUAUUUCUGCUGCAUUGCAAACAAACUGUAUAGCGUCACAUCCGAUUUUGCAUCGAUCGAAGCCACACGAAGACCAAAUAUUCAAUUGUCCUGCGACUUUAUUUAAAGUUUUUCUGUUCGUUUCACGUCAGUCGAAAUGUAUAACGAUUCACCACCCGAGAGACGGCAGAUGCAUCGUCAACCGGAACGGUACCGCCAUCCUAGGCUGCGGACCAGCGCCAACACCACGACGGUUGACCAACACGGUCACGUACGCCGGUGCUACGGCAGUCAACCUGGUCGUGGUACGUACUGCGUCCGACGCCGUACUGCGCCACCACGGCCGCCGUCGUACGAACAACACCGGACGACGUCGGUGACCGUUCGUUCAUCGGCAAACCGACGACACCGUCGUCACCGUUGUUCGUGUAUUCGAGACCACUACCGACCGGUAGCGUCGGCAGUAAUAUCCGAGGUGGUGCAAACGGUACGGUUUCGUGCGCGCGCACCGCAGACGGUCGCGGACGGCGACGAUGGUACGCGGCUAUCCGGCACUGAACUCGGUAGACGGUUCGGGCAGCUACUUGCCCGCCGAUGUCCACCAACACCGCGCCUAUGACGACUCGCUAGGCUACCGGUGGGUGCCGCACGUCCUCAAGACGUACCGACCGGUGCUGCAUCCCGGUAUCAUGUGCGCCAACUGUCGGUUAAUG